rnacentral:rRNA from 1 species
AGGACCUUGCACUUUUGGAGCGGCCGAUGUCUGAUUAGCUAGUUGGUGGGGUAAUGGCCUACCAAAGCUUCGAUCAGUAGCUGGUCUGAGAGGACGGCCAGCCACACUGGGACUGAGACACGGCCCAGACUCCUACGGGAGGCAGCAGUGGGGAAUUUUGGACAAUGGGCGCAAGCCUGAUCCAGCCAUGCCGCGUGAGUGAAGAAGGCCUUCGGGUUGUAAAGCUCUUUCAGCCGGGAAGAAAAGGUUGCGACUAAUAAUCGCAAUUCAUGACGGUACCGAAAGAAGAAGCACCGGCUAACUACGUGCCAGCAGCCGCGGUAAUACGUAGGGUGCGAGCGUUAAUCGGAAUUACUGGGCGUAAAGGGUGCGCAGGCGGUUUUGUAAGUCAGAUGUGAAAUCCCCGGGCUUAACCUGGGAACU